rnacentral:piRNA from 1 species
UGGCAAGCCCACGUGCCUUUCUCUUGUCU